rnacentral:rRNA from 1 species
AGAGUUUGAUCCUGGCUCAGGAUGAACGCUAGCUACAGGCUCAACACAUGCAAGUCGAGGGGGAAACGACAUCGAAAGCUUGCUUUUGAUGGGCGUCGACCGGCGCACGGGUGAGUAACGCGUAUCCAACCUGCCCAUCACUUGGGGAUAACCUUGCGAAAGUAAGACUAAUACCCAAUGACGUCUCUAGAAGACAUCUGAAAGAGAUUAAAGAUUUAUCGGUGAUGGAUGGGGAUGCGUCUGAUUAGCUUGUUGGCGGGGUAACGGCCCACCAAGGCGACGAUCAGUAGGGGUUCUGAGAGGAAGGUCCCCANAUUGGAACUGAGACACGGUCCAAACUCCUACGGGAGGCA